UUAUUUCAUAAUACGAUUUCUUCAUAACCGCUCCCCUCUUCACUUCAGAAAUCGACAACCCAACCCACCAACCAAGCUUCCAAGCUUGACGAAAAUGGCGCCCAUCAACUUUCUCAGAGCAGCACGUCAUUUUUCAGACUGAAAAAGCUCUCUGAAAACGCUGUUACUCCAUCAAGAUUCAAGAGGCUCUCCUCUCUCUGCGGGUUACGAUCUCUCGAGGAAGGUGUGGCACCAGUUCAUCUAAUUGUUGAGGAUAAUUUGCACUGUGCAACUCCAGGAGGUGCUGGGGUGUAAAGGCUAUAGUAAACUAUGUUGCGGUUCUCAAGGCUAAUCAGCUGCAAAAGAACAAGGGUAUUCAAAUGUUCUCUACCUUGAUUGUGUACACAAAAUAAAUCUAGAGGAGGUCUCCUCUUGCAACAUUUUCGUCGUCAAGUAAGGUUCUUUUCUUGGGGGAGAAGGUUUUUGGAAGGAGGGCUGACUUUCAAACAUUAGGGGAGAACAAAUUAGUUUCCCCAAGAGUUGUGAAUUGUUUGGUUGAGAUACUGACAGCAGUUGAAAGAUUUGAACGUGGUAAUCAGAAUAAAUUUUGGUGGAUUCCUACCAAUUUGUCUUAGAGGCCUGAUCCUACUAGUUUAUUUACAUUGAGUGAACCUACGAAGUGGAUGGAGUGGUGUGGAGCACUGCGAAGAUGUGAGAAGGUAUUUUUUUUUCAUGCUAUACUGCAAUAAUAUUUUGUAGUUACUUAUUAUUAUUUUGAUGUCAUUGAUGAGUUGUUAUAGGUGUAUGUUCCUGUGAUGGCAAAGAGACACUGGUUUUUAUCAGUAUUGAUUAUGAAAUAUAUAAGAGGGUGGAUGUUUAGGACAAUUUUAAAAAGUGUUCUUUUCAGUUAGGAACGGCUAUUAUGAGUCGCAUGGUACUAUUGUUUUGUUUGCGUGGGUUAAAUAUACUAUUUUUAAUUUUUUAAUUAAUUAUACUUUUUCCCAACUCCAAAUUUCAUAUAUUGUUCCAAGUAUAGUUGCUUUCUAUGGAUAAUGCAUUCAAGGAUAAAAUAAUGAACACUUUUGGGUCCUCUUCGAAUUUUUGUGGCUUCAAUGUUGCCGAAGCACCCGACCAUGACCGAAGAUAUGUUGGAAACUAUGAUAGCAGCUUGGAGGUAAUCAAAACACUUCUUUGAGAGUAUGUUGACGGUGUCUUCAAUGAACAACUUUAGGUGCCUCAAGCGAUUCAAGGAUUAUAUAUUGGAUUACUAAUUUUGGGUCUCAAGUGGAUAAGGUUCGAGACAUUACAAUAAACAAAGUCGUUUGAUGAUAAUGUGGCAUAUGAUUUUUAUUUUUUAAGUAUUAAUUUAAGGAGGUGGAAGCUAAUAUUGUUCUUAAUGAAAGUGAGAGUGGAACAUUGAUUUACCUAUUGAUGGAACAAUAUUAGAAUUUUGUUAGCUUGUACAUAUUUUAUGUUUUUAUAUAAGAUAAUGCAUACAAAUAUUUUGUUGUA